rnacentral:lncRNA from 1 species
AUUGGUCCUGAAAGGUUGUUUUCACUAAGGUCUAGCUCAACAAGGUUGAGUAAGUUUCCAAUCUCAAAAGGAAGUGGACCCGAGAAAGAAUUUUUAAAGAGGUACAACUUGACCAAGUUGGUUAGAUUUCCAAUGGAAGAGAGUAUAGAAGAGGGUAUUGGUCCUGAAAGGUUGUUUUCACUAAGGUCUAGCUCAACAAGGUUGAGUAAGUUUCCAAUCUCAAAAGGAAGUGGACCCGAGAAAGAAUUUUCAAAGAGGUACAACUUGACCAAGUUGGUUAGAUUUCCAAUGAAAGAGGGUAUUGGUCCAAACAAGUUAUUUGUAUUAAGGUAUAGCUCAACCAACUUGGUUAAAUUUCCAAUGGAAGAGGGCACUGGUCCAGAUAAGUUGUUUAUACAAAGCUGUAAGUAAACAAGGUUGGGUAAGUUUCCAAUCUCGAAAGGAAGUGGACCCGAGAAAGAAUUGGUAUAAAGGUACAAUUGUACCAAGUUGGUUAGAUUUCCAAUGGAAGAGGGUAUUGGUCCAGAGAGAUUGUUUGUAUUAAGGUCUAGCUCAACAAGGUUGGGUAAGUUUCCAAUCUCGAAAGGAAGUGGACCCGAUAAAGAAUUGUUAAAGAGGUACAGUUGUUCCAAGUUGGUUAGAUUUCCAAUGGAAGAGGGUAUUGGUCCAGAGAGAUUGUUUUCAUUAAGGAUUAGAUUACCAAGGUUGGGUAAGUUCCCAAUCUCGG